rnacentral:rRNA from 1 species
UCAGGAUGAACGCUAGCUACAGGCUUAACACAUGCAAGUCGAGGGGCAGCAUUGGGAUAGCUUGCUAUUCAGAUGGCGACCGGCGCACGGGUGAGUAACGCGUAUCCAACCUUCCUGCCAGUAGGGAACAGCCCGGCGAAAGUCGGAUUAAUGCCCUAUGUUCUUCAAUGCGGACAUCUAAGUUGAAGGAAAGAUUCAUCGCUGGCAGAUGGGGAUGCGUCCGAUUAGCUUGCCGGCGGGGUAACGGCCCACCGGGGCGACGAUCGGUAGGGGUUCUGAGAGGAAGGUCCCCCACACUGGUACUGAGACACGGACCAGACUCCUACGGGAGGCAGCAGUGAGGAAUAUUGGUCAAUGGGCGUAAGCCUGAACCAGCCAAGUAGCGUGCAGGAAUGACGGCCCUACGGGUUGUAAACUGCUUUUAUGCGGGGAUAAAGUGCGGCACGUGUGCCGCUUUGCAGGUACCGCAUGAAUAAGGACCGGCUAAUUCCGUGCCAGCAGCGGC